UCAACAAAUUGUGCUUGGACAACUAGAUUA
rnacentral:piRNA from 1 species